AAAAAAGCUCUCAAAGACCCUCACACAGUGGAGGAAGAUGGAAAGGGUUUUGCUGCACUGAUAUGUUCACUAAAGGCGAGAAGCAAGAUGAAUGAGGGAGACAUAGUGAAGGCUUAGAAGUACAGUCGACGUGCAUGUAGAACAAACACAGUGGCC